rnacentral:tmRNA from 1 species
GGGAGCGACUUGGCUUCGACAGGAGUAAGUCUGCUUAGAUGGCAUGUCGCUUUGGGCAAAGCGUAAAAAGCCCAAAUAAAAUUAAACGCAAACAACGUUAAAUUCGCUCCUGUUUACGCUAAAGCUGCGUAAGUUCAGUUGAGCCUGAAAUUUAAGUCAUACUAUCUAGCUUAAUUUUCGGUCAUUUUUGAUAGUGUAGCCUUGCGUUUGACAAGCGUUGAGGUGAAAUAAAGUCUUAGCCUUGCUUUUGAGUUUUGGAAGAUGAGCGAAGUAGGGUGAAGUAGUCAUCUUUGCUAAGCAUGUAGAGGUCUUUGUGGGAUUAUUUUUGGACAGGGGUUCGAUUCCCCUCGCUUCCACCA